CCUAGCUCCAGCAGCUGGCUCUGUGCUGCCACGUGUCUUGGUCCCCUGGCUUCUUGGAGGUACAGACCUUUGUCCCUGUCCUUGGUGCGCCCUGGGAUGCAGUAUCUCCAAUGCUUGGAGUCUUGGAGUUUUCAAACUCAAAGAUUCUCCUGACAACUUCCUCACUUCGUGGUGCUCCGGGAGGACCCCAAACAGCAGGACCCGGUGGGGCAGGGAGCUGGGUCCCCUCUGAGCCCCUCCGGGCAGAACUCACCGUGGCCAGGACGCCGCUGGCGGCUGCUGCUGUCACUGCUGCCAGCGUCCAGGGCAGGAACCACCUCAUGCCUGGAAGUCAGUGGCAAAGGCAUCGACCGAGAGCCCAGAGGAUCCAGCCACCUCUCGGGGGAGCUGGGCCCAGACUGGCCUGGCCCAUGAGGAGCCCCAGAUAUGCCUCUUCCGCGGCCCUUGGGGGGUUUUAUUAAAGCAAGAUCUGACGUCAGGGUUAAGGACAAACCCUGCAUUUUCCUCUGAAAAAACUUUUCCUGCCUCUCUUUCUUUUUUUUUUCU